rnacentral:lncRNA from 1 species
CUUCGUACUCUGAAACUGGGGGGCCUGUGUUAACACCAAAAUUUGGAAAUAUGCUCUGAAAGGAAGGAAUCGGCCAAUGAUGCGAAAAAUAAUGAAAUCUCCUAAAUAAGACUAUUUGCGAGCUGGCCGCAGAAAUCAGGAAUGUGUGCAUGAAGAAAGAGAAAGCAAGAAAGCUAGAAGAUUAAAAGAAGGAAAUCAACGCACGCAUGUACACGGCAAGAGUUCCAAUUUGUUUGGCAUCCAAGGGAAGCGCACGUACGGGAGGUUGUCUUAUAGAAUAAAAUAUUCUGGAGAUAGAGUUGGUUAGGGAUAAGCUUGAUUAGAGAUAGAGUU